GCCACGGUGGUCUAGCGGUUAGAACGCUGGCCUUGUAAUCCUGGGGUCUCGGGUCUCGGGUUCGAUUCCCGGCGGUGCCC
rnacentral:tRNA from 1 species